AUUGAACGCCGGCGGCAGGCCUAACACAUGCAAGUCGAGCGGAUGACGGGAGCUUGCUCCUUGAUUCAGCGGCGGACGGGAGAGUAAUGCCUAGGAAUCUGCCUGGUAGUGGGGGACAACGUUUCGAAAGGAACGCUAAUACCGCAUACGUCCUACGUGAGAAAGCAGGGGACCUUCGGGCCUUGCGCUAUCAGAUGAGCCUAGGUCGGAUUAGCUAGUAGGUGAGGUAAUGGCUCACCUAGGCGACGAUCCGUAACUGGUCUGAGAGGAUGAUCAGUCACACUGGAACUGAGACACGGUCCAGACUCCUACGGGAGGCAGCAGUGGGGAAUAUUGGACAAUGGGCGAAAGCCUGAUCCAGCCAUGCCGCGUGUGUGAAGAAGGUCUUCGGAUUGUAAAGCACUUUAAGUUGGGAGGAAGGGUUGUACGUUAAUACCGUGCAAUUUUGACGUUACCGACAGAAUAAGCACCGGCUAACUCUGUGCCAGCCGCCGCAGUAACAC
rnacentral:rRNA from 1 species